rnacentral:rRNA from 1 species
CAGGAUGAACGCUGGCGGUCUGCUUAACACAUGCAAGUCGAACGAAUCCCUUCGGGGAUUAGUGGCGGACGGGUGAGUAGCGCGUGAGAAUCUGCCUUCAGGUUCGGGACAACCACUGGAAACGGUGGCUAAUACCGAAUGUGCCGCAACGUGAAAGAUUUAUCGCCUGAAGAUGAGCUCGCGUCCGAUUAGCUAGUUGGUGAGGUAAAAGCUCACCAAGGCGACGAUCGGUAGCUGGUCUGAGAGGAUGACCAGCCACACUGGGACUGAGACACGGCCCAGACUCCUACGGGAGGCAGCAGUGGGGAAUUUUCCGCAAUGGGCGCAAGCCUGACGGAGCAAGACCGCGUGAGGGAGGAAGGCCCAAGCGGUUGUAAACCUCUUUUCUCAGGGAAGAAGAAAGUGACGGUACCUGAGGAAUCAGCCUCGGCUAACUCCGUGCCAGCAGCCGCGGUAAUACGGAGGAGGCAAGCGUUAUCCCGGAAUUAUUGGGCGUAAAGCGUCCCGUAGGUGGUUAUGUAAGUCUGCUGUCAAAGCACAGGGCUUAACCCCUGUAAAGGCAGUGGAAACUACAAGACUCGAGUGCGGUAGGGGCAGA